UGGCUCCUCUGUCUCCCCACAGAUGAAGAGGCCAAGGAACUGGAAGAAGAGGAGUCAAAGACAGCCAUGACGCUACUGGAAAGCUAAGGCCAGGAAAAUAAAGGAGUCGGGGCCAGACGGCGGGUAGGAGAUGAGUCUGGCGGGUAAUCCCACUCCACCUAUCCAUCAACUUGGAGACUAUUUCCAGCGUCCCCUACAGAAUGUCAAAGCCUCACUGAGCAGAAGAUGAGUCCAUCAUCUUCUUUCUAAGACUUUCCCUCGAGUUUCCAUCAAAACACAAACACAUCAUGUGCCAUUAUUUUCUAUUGCCCUCACCUCCCUUUUUCUGUCAGUGGAGGGCGGCGGCGGUGAGUGAACGCAGUUGAGCCGGUGGUUCCGUGCAGUAUGCAAAAGAGAAGCUCUGUUUGAAAACUACAGGAUGUGACAGGAUCCUUUCUCUGUCGCUGACAUCACUCUGUAUGGGUUGUGAUGGGGCAUGUGCCAGAGAUCUCCUGUCUAAUAGGAAGUGAGACACUUAAAGAGAUGACCCUGCCUCAGUUGCCAUCACUGUCUCUCUGCCAGAGAGAGAGCUUGGCUCUCCCAUUACUCCUGCACUUGCUAAUUAGCGUCUGUCGCUGGAGUAACUUGUACCUGUCAGUGUGUGCCGCUCUCCUAUAUUCAGUAACUUGAGGGAAUUGAAAUUGAAUGCCAGCUAAGCUCCAACAAACUGCAAAUGGUGCAUGGGAUACACCCUGAUUUUCUCACUGACCUGACAGCCUUAUAUGUAAGAAAUUGUUUUUAAUGAACACACACUAUCUCAGCUACUUUCUCCUGCUGGGGUGCAAUGUUUUAUCUCCUCCAGACUCGGGGCUGUACCAGUUGUUUUAUUGCAUUUUUUUAGGUACUUGAGUAAGUCCCUGUGCCAUAUGUCCAUGUAUGAAUGCCAAAGCCAUUUGUGUCAGAUAACCCAGUGCCUAUUUACAUUAAAGAGACAUGGUGAAACUGCC